UGCGGGGGUGGCGGAGUGGUCAAACGCGCAGGACUUAAGAUCCUGUGACUUAGUGUCUACGAGGGUUCGAAACCCUUCCCCCGCAAC
rnacentral:tRNA from 1 species